AUCCCGCUGACGAGUCCAAAAUAGGACGAAACGCGCGUCCUGGAU
rfam:Schistosoma rodhaini strain Burundi genome assembly, scaffold: SROB_scaffold0000396